GGCGCAGCUCCCGGCGAUGACCUCAGGCAGCUGAGCAAUUAGAGCCCCGCGCACCAGUGCUGUGCUGAGCGGGAACACAGCCCCGCGCCAGCCUUUAAUAUGAAAAUGAAGAAGGGAAACAACAAAUCCAAUAAACCGGCAAAGUCAAACAAAGCCAACUGGGAGUUCGUUUGGCGAUAAGAGCAAGGAAGAGAGGCGGCUGAUAAAGCCGGGUGCUUCUCCGCUGGCCCUGUCUGCCACGGGUCUGUCAGGACUGAGUGGCUCAGGAGGCAGCCUGGACUCACCCAGGUGGGAAAACCACCUCAGGGAAUGAGGACACAUGCGAGUGCUUCAUUGGCAGCCGGGGAGAACAGGCGUGUUUCUGCCCCUUUCCCAUUUCCAGGCAUCUGUAAGCGCUUUGCAAAGCAAAUGAGUUUGCUCCACAGCGGGCCAAGGACACAGAGCCCAGGGAGCAGGUCGGCAGCUUCUGCUCACCUUCAUUUGAAACAGCAUUAUCCUGCUGAGAGUUUUGAAGUCAUAAAGUCACCCUCCGCUGCCAAGAUCCUCCAUCUGAAGAUCUCCAGCAGACGCCGACCGCAGCACCUCGGCACCGUAUCAAUUGAGCUCAGCCACUGUACAGCCCAGCAAAGCUCAGUCCUGUCACUGUGCAAACACUUUACUCCCAAAGAAGAGGAUCCCUACAAGAUCUCGGCCAACUUCAGAGCGCUCUGAGUAAGGUAUUAAGCCAACAUCAGCGCCUACACCAGCGCUCGUACCAGUCUGAGUUAAUCAGUUUAAACCCAUACCUUUAGAUAAAUACUUGUGUGCAGACAGACGGUGAUUCAGGAUUUGAUCAAAGCUCAAUGAAUACAAUGUGAAUGAACGUGCGGUCUGAACAAAUACAUAAAUAAACAGAAAAGAGACAAUAAAGGAUCAGUGGCCAUUCUCCUUGAAGACCAGGCACGGUGCUCAGAAAACCCCAGAGUCAGCUCUAAAGGGAUUACACGGAUUUGGCAGGGAAUCUGCUGCUCUGGAAGAUGAGGAGCUCAUCAGGAGUACAUUACCCUGGAAAAAUCCCCCAGCACUGGAAGGUCCCCACAUAGCCUGGAUUUGGAAUACCUUAACCCAUGGCUGUGCAACCUUCUGGCUUGCCUGGGCUGCAGUGAGUGAAGUGGAAUUGUCUUGGGCUGCAUAUACAGAGGUUGCACCAAAAGUAAUGCCUCCUAUUUAUUUCCCCAGAAACUACAACCAAUAUAACGGGCACAACAACACUAUUUGAUAGAGCAAAUUCUCUGCUACAAAACACUAUCUUUCAUCAGAGCCACCGUCAUUAGCUAUGCAUUUUCACCAGCAAUGAACAAAAGCCUGUAUGUCAUACUCCUCAAAACCUGUACCACUGGAGGUGACCCACUGUCACCACUGCUGAAACACACCACCCAUUGCCUCACUGUGCUCACAUCCGCUGUUUGGUCUCUACAAACAUGCAGCAAGCAUCGGUGAAUGCCACUUUUCUGUAUGAAGGAAUCCAAUGACACCCCUUUGCUUCAUAUGCACUUCCACAUAUUAGAUGUCACUUUGUCAGACUGCCCCUCUGCUGCCAUCUGUCACAUGGUAACAACAGGAACCGUGACAGAAGUUCUAUCUCCGAACACAAUUUUCUCAAGAAACACUCUGUAAAUGCCACUGAACUUACACGACGAAAGAUCUGCAGAACAAGGGCCUUAGCAGAGAUAAGUAAUCACAAGAAAAAGAUUAGGCAACAGCAAGCCUACAGGCGGAAGUGGCGUAUUGGGAUUGCAGUGGCAUGACUACAAAGCUUCAGAGGAGAGUGCAAAAUUCUCACUUCAGUUCUGAUUUCUUUCUUCUGGCUCAUUUUUAGGCCAUAUAGUAUAUUUUAACCUUACUUCUUGUUUUUCAGGGAGCUCUCCUACACUUUUCUUUGUCUCUGUUUUCUCAUUCUAUUCCCUUCCAGGGUUUCUGCACUUUCUGUUCCAGAAAUCUCUUGCAGGAUCUGAUUCUGCAGAUGAUGCUGUAACCAGCAGUCAUAUUUUAUCCUGUGCCUGCUGAAACAAAUGAUGGAACUGCUAUUCCAGUAAGGGAUUCGUGAAUUUGGAUCACAGCUCAGAAGAUGAACACCUCCAACUGUGUAUGCAAAGAACAUCUGAAUUGAUUUUCCAAGGAGGAGAAGUACAGAACUCAAAGUGCUCCUUUGGUAGGAUGUGUGUGCUCACACUGAAAUUCAGGCUUUCAGAAUCAAUUCACAAACUCCUAUAACUCUGUACUGUUUAAACACGGAUUCAGAAGGUUACAUCAUUUCCUCUGACCCAUGCAAAGAUAAGACACAGGACCAUCAGACAGUAGGUGCUUGAUCUGUUUUGUAGGGUUUGCAGCGAUCUGACUAACAUCACUUAUAACCCAUCAAAGACACUCCACAGCUCAGUCCUGAGCCCUCUUAGGAUGCAACAAUCCUCCUACAGAGUGCACAGUUCGGAUAUCUAUACUGUGCAGAGAAGCAUUACAAAUGGACAAUUGCACAGGAUUAAUCCUGCUCAGAUUGCAUGCCCUGUGGCCUCUGGAUGACGGCCAGCUCCACAUCAUUACCGCCUCUGAACAAGAAGAAGAGCCUCAUCUGGGGCAAGAUACAGCCUGCAAAACAUUGCUAAGAGUUAACAGUUUGUCUCUAUUGCGGCCUGCUGUAGGAAUGCACACUGAGAACCAGUCCUGUGUCACCUUAUUUUGUCUUCAAGCAAUCAUGUAAAGACAGAGGAACUGCUCUGUAAGAGUGUGGCAGCAUGCAACAAGAUGUCUAUGAAUGAAUCUUCUCUCAGAGAAAGGCACAACAAGAAUAGCUGGAAGUUGAAGCCAUAUUGAAAAGAAAAUCCAAUGUGAGAACUCAGAACUAUAUUUUCACCAGUGGGGUGAAGAGCGUGCCAGCACAGUGCAGCAGCCUUGCUGCUAGCUUGCCCAGGAAGGCCUCCUGCUACACCUUUCAACCCAAGGAGAACCAAGGAACCUUCACCAACGCAAACUGUACUUCCCGCUGACCUUGCAGAUAACUGCGAACCAAAACACUCAGCCCUCUAAUUUCUGUUCCUGAUGGAGCUUUACAAGAUCGAGCUAAAUUUAACGAGGAGGAGGAGGAAGGUCACUCUGAAAAUCUUUCCAAACAUUUCUCUCCUGUGGCGGAAGGGAGGGUUCAGGUGCAGGAAGAGUCUACAGGCACAAGGACCUGCUGGAUCAGCCUCCUUGGCCAGAGAUCCAUUACUGUCCCACACCACCCUGCUCCUUCCCCGUCAGUCCCAUAGCAUCCCCACAUCGUGACAAGGGUGUGAGGUGGUGCUGGGACGUACCAUGAAUGCUCUGUAGAUGCCGGAGGGCAUUUAAAAAAAUAAAAUUUGCAUUUGU
ensembl:lncRNA